rnacentral:rRNA from 1 species
UGUGAACUCGAAGAGUAGGGCGGGACACGUGGUAUCCUGUCUGAAUAUGGGGGGACCAUCCUCCAAGGCUAAAUACUCCUGACUGACCGAUAGUGAACCAGUACCGUGAGGGAAAGGCGAAAAGAACCCCGGCGAGGGGAGUGAAAAAGAACCUGAAACCGUGUACGUACAAGCAGUGGGAGCACCUUCGGGUGUGACUGCGUACCUUUUGUAUAAUGGGUCAGCGACUUAUAUUCUGUAGCAAGGUUAACCGUAUAGGGGAGCCGCAGGGAAACCGAGUCUUAACUGGGCGUUAAGUUGCAGGGUAUAGACCCGAAACCCGGUGAUCUAGCCAUGGGCAGGUUGAAGGUUGGGUAACACUAACUGGAGGACCGAACCGACUAAUGUUGAAAAAUUAGCGGAUGACUUGUGGCUGGGGGUGAAAGGCCAAUCAAACCGGGAGAUAGCUGGUUCUCCCCGAAAGCUAUUUAGGUAGCGCCUCGUGAACUCAUCUUCGGGGGUAGAGCACUGUUUCGGCUAGGGGGUCAUCCCGACUUACCAACCCGAUGCAAACUACGAAUACCGAAGAAUGUUAUCACGGGAGACACACGGCGGGUGCUAACGUCCGUCGUGAAGAGGGAAACAACCCAGACCGCCAGCUAAGGUCCCAAAGUCAUGGUUAAGUGGGAAACGAUGUGGGAAGGCACAGACAGCCAGGAUGUUGGCUUAGAAGCAGCCAUCAUUUAAAGAAAGCGUAAUAGCUCACUGGUCGAGUCGGCCUGCGCGGAAGAUGUAACGGGGCUAAACCAUGCACCGAAGCUGCGGCAGCGACACUAUGUGUUGUUGGGUAGGGGAGCGUUCUGUAAGCCUGCGAAGGUGUGCUGUGAGGCAUGCUGGAGGUAUCAGAAGUGCGAAUGCUGACAUAAGUAACGAUAAAGCGGGUGAAAAGCCCGCUCGCCGGAAGACCAAGGGUUCCUGUCCAACGUUAAUCGGGGCAGGGUGAGUCGACCCCUAAGGCGAGGCCGAAAGGCGUAGUCGAUGGGAAACAGGUUAAUAUUCCUGUACUUGGUGUUACUGCGAAGGGGGGACGGAGAAGGCUAUGUUAGCCGGGCGACGGUUGUCCCGGUUUAAGCAUGUAGGCUGGUUAUCCAGGCAAAUCCGGAUAAUCAAGGCUGAGGUGUGAUGACGAGGCACUACGGUGCUGAAGUAACAAAUGCCCUGCUUCCAGGAAAAGCCUCUAAGCAUCAGGUAACAUCAAAUCGUACCCCAAACCGACACAGGUGGUCAGGUAGAGAAUACCAAGGCGCUUGAGAGAACUCGGGUGAAGGAACUAGGCAAAAUGGUGCCGUAACUUCGGGAGAAGGCACGCUGGUGUGUAGGUGAAG